rnacentral:lncRNA from 1 species
UUUCCUCAUCGGAUUUCAAUCAAGGCUAAGGCCAUCAAAGAUGAGAUGGAUGGAGAAACAAGCGGUUCUUCAGGACGUAGCUGGGAUCCUGGGUUGGAAAUUGAGGUCCCUUUUGAGCAGAGACCGGUAGGUGUAAACUGCCCAAUGAUAGCAAUGAGUGUUUUAUUUAGAUGAUCUUCAAAAUCAACAGAUGUAGCAGGGUAUAAUGUUAGUUCAUGAAUUUUAUGGCCGAAUCUAGCUAGUGAGUUGGAUAAGGUCAUGGGAUGGGAUUAAAAUUAAUUAUUAGUUAGCAUUAUUGUUUCAGUAAAGCUCAUUUCAUUUCUUCUGAGCUAAGUUUGCUAACCUUGACUUUGCUGUGUGAUAGGUGAAUGAGUACUCAUCUCUGAAGGAUGGAGUAUUGUACUCUUGGGGGGAACUGGGUCCGGGGUCGUUCUUCCUUCGCCUGGGAGGUCUUUGGUUGGCAGUGUUUACAGUUCUUGGAGGGCCAAUUGCGGCUGCAAGCUUUAAUCCUUCUAGAGUAAGGAAGAUAAAAUAUGUGCAUGUAAUAGGGUAUCAAAUCAAGUAAACACAAAAGAUAUUUUGAUGUAUGGACAAGGAUACCUGCCAGCUGCACACAAACAAAAACAUUUAUAAAGUGGAUAAUAAAAGUUCCUCUGACUUGCAUCAACU